ACAAUGAUACUCCCGUCUUCUGAUUGCAGGGGGCGGCUCGGAGCGUUCCUCGGAGGGGUGAGAUUCCCGUGA
ncrna:unclassified sequences pemK RNA